AUGGUUUCUUCGUCUGUUGCUA
rnacentral:siRNA from 1 species